rnacentral:rRNA from 1 species
CCUACGGGUGGCUGCAGUGGGGAAUAUUGGACAAUGGGGGGAACCCUGAUCCAGCGACGCCGCGUGAGUGAAGAAGUAUUUCGGUAUGUAAAGCUCUAUCAGCAGGGAAGAAAGAAAUGACGGUACCUGACUAAGAAGCCCCUGCUAACUACGUGCCAGCAGCCGCGGUAAUACGUAGGGGGCAAGCGUUAUCCGGAUUUACUGGGUGUAAAGGGAGCGUAGGCGGGGAUGCAAGUCUGAAGUGAAAGGCGGGGGCUCAACCCCGGGACUGCGUUUGAAACUGUAUGGCUGGAGUGCAGGCGGGGUAAGUGGAAUUCAUAGUGUAGCGGUGAAAUGCGUAGAUAUUAGGAGGAACACCAGUGGCGAAGGCGGGUUACUGGACUGUAACUGACGUUGAGGCUCGAAAGCGUGGGGAGCAAACAGGAUUAGAUACCCGAGUAGUC